CCUUGGUUAGUUUACAUUAUGGAAGAUAAAAUGGAUAUGGGAGCAUUUGGUCGGCGGUUUCAGGUGAUAAAUUCUAUGGAAUUUAAUUCAUAUGUUAAAAUUUUCAUUUGUAAUAUGAAUAUAAGCAUGGUUAUUAAAUUGAGUCUCUUUUUUGUUGUAGAAAAAACAAUUAGAUUGAUGGGAACUCCUUCGUGAAUCAAUCGUGAUAUGAAAUUCAAUAAUAAACAUUUCUUGCUUCAUUUCCCUUAUUUCUUGCUUGGUAAACAAUUGAGUGGCUUUAUAUGCUUGAAUGUUGCGUUUCAGUUGUUUUGUUGAUUAUUCUUUAAUCUUGAGUUUUCCCUGUUCCAUAUCAAAUAUUGGUGUAGUAUGAGUUCUUUAAUCUAUAUGUUCAGGUCUAAACCUUGACAGCAUCUAUUCUCAUUGUCAUAAUUCAAACUGGGGUUUGUGACCUUGUGUAUAUCAUGGUCAUUGGAUGGGGGUGUAUUUCUCCCUAAGAUUUUGAACUGGCAGUCUUGUUCCGAAGAAAAAAAAGGUUGAUUUUACCUUUUCUCCCCUUCUAUUUUCUCUGACUUUGGGAGGGUUGUUAAAGCCUUGCUCAAUUAGUGAACUUUUGGGUAUCUACCUGAUGUGUGGUAGCCAUAUGCUUAUUUUCUGGGCAUGCAAUGAAGUAGUGAGAGGCUUUCUAAAAGAUUUUGCUUUAGCAUCUAAGUUAUUCGAUUUUGUAUUGGCUAAAUUCAGAAUUUGAGAAUCACUGUGUUCAUGGUAUACUCUAUUGUAGCAUUUUGCAUCAGCAUAUAGAUUGUCAUAUUAGGUAUUUGAUGUGUAACUGAUCUUGCAAGUGAUCAUAACUUUCCCUUGAACAACUUGGUACUGGAAUGUUGAAGAAGAAAUUGGAUGUACCUUGUCUUUUAAGCUGUGAAGAUUGGAAUGUUUAAAUUGGGCGAAACUGCUAUAAACCAGUGUAAAAUUUCGGUCUACUUUCCUUGAUUUUCUCUAUGUAAAAUUUGCAGUGUGUCUAUAUCGGCUGCAUCAGAUGGGUUUUAAUUUGCUAACAGACUACCGUUAAAUAUGUCUAGUAAGUUGAAUUUUGUCCCUAAUGUGCGCAACUUCUAUCAUGGACACUGUCUUUUGCAUGUUAGAUGUAGAUUCCUCCUUUGCUGUCAUUUGGAACACUUCGGUUUCAUUUUUCUGAUGGGAUUGUAGUUAAAAAGUUUGUUUCUUAAAAUUAUAAUCUCUCAGGUAACCAUGCAAUUUCUUUUUCCGUUAUUUGGUCCUGCAAGGUAUUGGUGCUGAUAUGUUCAAAUGUUUAGCAGUUAGAUGCUGGUUAUGAAAGAAUGGAAACUUUUUAUAUAGGCAUACUAUGAACUACUAAAACCUUUAUAUCAAAGUUGUGAUUUUCAAACCUUACCAACUUAGUACAGUCUGCAAAACAAUUCUUUAUUUAGUUUAGAAAGACAUGAAAUUAUUGAAAUGUUGGCAAUGGAGAAGAUUGAAUUUGGGUAGAAGAAUGAUGGGACGACAGGCCAGCUUGGCCUUGGCGGGGGUUGAGUUUAUACUAUACUACUAUAUGGCAUGUGAUGUGAUCAUUGAUCACAGUUCACAUGCCAUGCUACCAUGUUUUAGGAGGCAUUUUGUUCGUAUAUUGAUUUCCCCAUCGUGUUUGUGUUUGUAUAUCUUCAACCUACAUCUGUACUUAAGUAUCGGAUUUAUGAAAGGAUAAUAUAGAAUUAAUUUUGAUGAUUAUAUAUAUGUUUUUGGCAUUUUUUUUAAUAGUAAUAUCUACCAGUGAUAUUUCAGUCUGUGGAUCUUGACUUUCGAGUGGUUUUAUUUGUUUGUUUUCCAAAAAAAAAAAAGGAAGUCGGUUUGGAAGAUGUGAUACUUCAUUAUUUCACUUGAAUUAUUGCUAAAAUAUCUGGUAUCAAUCACCCCAUCUCUGCGUGUGUGUCUGUCUGUCUCUCUCACCAUGGGUGCCCCAUGGAGGUACUUAGGCUUGUUGCGGUUGCUCCCAUUUGAUUAACUUAGGCUUAGUAUUGCUUUUUUAUAGUGCUUUUGAGGUUAAAAGCACUUCUUGCUUUUCAAGCAAGUAAUGCUAAACAAACAAUUUUUGGGGUCAAAAAGACUAAAUGACAGUUUUAUCCCUUUUAAUAUAUUUUAUAUAGUAUUUAUAUUUUGUAUGUAAUUAUUU
rnacentral:lncRNA from 1 species